rnacentral:rRNA from 1 species
UGGGGAAUAUUGCACAAUGGACGAAAGUCUGAUGCAGCAACGCCGCGUGGAGGAUGACACAUUUCGGUGCGUAAACUCCUUUUAUAUAAGAAGAUAAUGACGGUAUUAUAUGAAUAAGCACCGGCUAACUCCGUGCCAGCAGCCGCGGUAAUACGGAGGGUGCAAGCGUUACUCGGAAUCACUGGGCGUAAAGAGCGUGUAGGCGGAUUGAUAAGUUUGAAGUGAAAUCCUAUAGCUUAACUAUAGAACUGCUUUGAAAACUGUUAAUCUAGAAUGUGGGAGAGGUAGAUGGAAUUUCUGGUGUAGGGGUAAAAUCCGUAGAGAUCAGAAGGAAUACCGAUUGCGAAGGCGAUCUACUGGAACAAUAUUGACGCUGAGACGCGAAAGCGUGGGGAGCAAACAGG